rnacentral:lncRNA from 1 species
AGGGGUUUGUGGUUGUCCGCGUAGCAUGCUUCUGCUGGGCCCGUGGAGGUGUUGCCUAGCCGUGUGUCUCUGCGGUGUUCCUCUGUUCUUUCUGCUGGGGUGUGUGUUGUGUGGCCGACGUGUGCAGGGGUUUGUCCGGUGUCAUCGUGAACCGCCGGGAUGGAGUAUACGCCAGAUUUUUGGUUAUCCAUUGGCUUAUCUUUGGAGUUUCGAGGGGCGGCGGGCGUGGGGGGAUUUCGUGUUGUCGCUGUUUUCUUUUUCUGUCGUCUGGCUGUUUCCUUGAUUACGGGGUGGUUCCGCAUGCUAU